UACGUAGGGUGCGAGCGUUGUCCGGAAUUAUUGGGCGUAAAGGGCUCGUAGGCGGUUUGUCGCGUCGGGAGUGAAAACCAGGUGCUUAACACCUGGCUUGCUUUCGAUACGGGCGGACUUGAGUACUGCAGGGGAGACUGGAAUUCCUGGUGUAGCGGUGAAAUGCGCAGAUAUCAGGAGGAACACCGGUGGCGAAGGCGGGUCUCUGGGCAGUAACUGACGCUGAGGAGCGAAAGCGUGGGGAGCGAACAGG
rnacentral:rRNA from 1 species